GCAUUCCUGCAGUGUUCGACGGUCUCCCGGUUCCCCUUGAGCCUAAUUACCUAACCAGGGGCGGGAACCGGCGCAGGUGAGUAGGCCCGCCACCGAGCGGGAAACCUAAUGUGUCGAGAAACGCCCCACUUGAGCGCUUGUCUCAAGGAUAGUGGACGACUGACGGCACAGGCGGGAAUGCC
rnacentral:other from 1 species